AGAGUUUGAUCAUGGCUCAGAACGAACGCUGGCGGCAGGCCUAACACAUGCAAGUCGAACGUGAAGCCACCUUCGGGUGGUAGAAAGUGGCAGACGGGUGAGUAACGCGUGGGAACGUGCCUUUCGGUUCGGAAUAACCCAGGGAAACUUGGGCUAAUACCGGAUACGCCCUUCGGGGGAAAGAUUCAUCGCCGAAAGAUCGGCCCACGUCGGAUUAGCUAGUUGGUAGGGUAAUGGCCUACCAAGGCGACGAUCCGUAGCUGGUCUGAGAGGAUGACCAGCCACACUGGGACUGAGACACGGCCCAGACUCCUACGGGAGGCAGCAGUGGGGAAUAUUGGACAAUGGGCGAAAGCCUGAUCCAGCCAUGCCGCGUGGGUGAAGAAGGCCCUAGGGUUGUAAACCCCUUUCAGCGGGGAAGAUAAUGACGGUACCCGCAGAAGAAGCCCCGGCUAACUCCGUGCCAGCAGCCGCGGUAAUACGGAGGGGGCUAGCGUUGUUCGGAAUUACUGGGCGUAAAGCGCGCGUAGGCGGAUCUGCAAGUCGGGGGUGAAAUCCCGAGGCUCAACCUCGGAACUGCCUUCGAUACUGCGGGUCUCGAGUCCGGGAGAGGUGAGUGGAAUUCCUAGUGUAGAGGUGAAAUUCGUAGAUAUUAGGAAGAACACCAGUGGCGAAGGCGGCUCACUGGCCCGGUACUGACGCUGAGACACGAAAGCGUGGGUAGCAAACAGGAUUAGAUACCCUGGUAGUCC
rnacentral:rRNA from 1 species